UACAGAGGUCUCGAGCGUUGUUCGGAUUCAUUGGGCGUAAAGGGCGCGUAGGCGGCGGGGUAAGUCUGGUGUGAAAUCUAGGAGCUCAACUCCUAAACUGCACUGGAUACUGCUCUGCUGGAGGACUGGAGAGGAGACUGGAAUUCACGGUGUAGCAGUGAAAUGCGUAGAUAUCAGGAGGAACACCGGUGGUGUAGACGGCUUUCUGGACCGUAACUGACGCUGAGACACGAAAGCGUGGGUAGCAAACAGG
rnacentral:rRNA from 1 species